rnacentral:rRNA from 1 species
CCUACGGGAGGCAGCAGUGGGGAAUAUUGCUCAAUGGCGGAAACCCUGAAGCAGCCAAGCCGCGUGAAGGAUGAAGGUUUUAGGGUUGUAAAACCCUUUUGGUAGGGGAGAUAAUGACUGUAUCUGACGAAUAAGCACCGUGUAACUCCGUUCCAGCAGCCGCCGUAAUACGGAGGGGGCAAGCGUUAUUCGGAUUUACUGGGCGUAAAGCGCACGUAUGGGGAUGAGCAAGUCAGUGGUGAAAUCCUAGGGCUUAACCGUAGAACUGCAGUUGAAACUGUUAUUCUUGAGUACAGGAGAGGUAGGCGGAAUUCGUGGUGUAGCGGUGAAAUGCGUAGAUAUCACGAGGAACACCGAUGGCGAAGGCGGCCUGCUGGACUGCAACUGACGCUGAGGCGCGAAAGCGUGGGGAGCAAACAGGAUUAGAUACCCUAGUAGUC